rnacentral:lncRNA from 1 species
GCAGAUUGCAAACCGCUGGCCCUGAGCCUGGCCAUCUGGAGUGUCAGGUUCAGCGGUCACCCCAAUGCAGGGCGGCACCACACAAAGCCUCCUUCUAGGAUGCAGGAACCCAGCGCCCUCAGCAGGCUCGUCCAUACUUGAUGGAGGGAAGUUCACUUGUGUUUUCUCAGAUCUCUUCAUGUCACACUCAGGCAAAAAGAAUAUUCCUGUUCCUCCUUUGCAAUGUUGAGACAUAAUAAACUUUACUUGGCU